ACAGAAGGAUUCUUGCAUCCAAAUGGUAUGUUCAUUUUUGCCAAUUCAUGAUCCAUCAUUACCUGACUCACAAUGUCCAGUGGACUCAGCUCACAGUGAUUGAUGAUUGAUCAAUAGCAACACGAUUUGAUUCUCAAUUUACAAGUUGAUUUCACCGCUAUGGAUUGGAUUAAUCUGAUUUUUGAUAUCUUGGUUUAGUGAGUUUCAGGUUCACGGUCUGGAUGGUGGAUUCGUUCUUCGAUGGCCAGACCAUCCAUGUCAAGCAGCGGCAUGAGAAGAGCUCCGGCGAGCUCAUCAUGUGCCGGUGCAUCUCACCUUCAAGCACAUGCUGCAGACUCCGACUGGUGUGGCUCCGUUCCUUCCCAGUCCUAUUUUUAUUUACUCUCCCUUGGUUACUGUUUGCCUCAAUCUUGAUUUGUUUUGUUGGUUCAUGUUGUUCAUUAGUUCUUUCUUUGCUGGAUGUUCGGCCCGCUGAUGCUGCAUGGAAGCAUUCAAAGUGAAAAAAAAUCUUCAUAUACCUUCCUGUAAGUGCAUCUCCCCUUCUUAAUUUGGGUUCUCUCGCUGUCCCGCUUACCUGUUCUGCUUCGCCCAUCAUUCAGAGUUAGGUUGGUUCAUGAGAUCAGAUAAUGUACUGCCAUUUAUUUUACCCAACUGCUACAUUCAAGAUCGAGGAGUACAAGUGUGUAUUGAUCUGAACACAAAGUGUUACAAUAGCUUAUCUCUGCAAGUGGAUAAGGUGGUCAUAUAUCAGCCUGCACUUUUGGACCAAAACACUUUUACAUGGGCUUCUUCGGAGGAAAAGGAAACCCCACCUGAACUUUUAGCUUUUUUUAUAUGUGAGAUCACUUGCUGAGUUUUCCCACAUGAUAGAUUUUCUUAUGAAUUCAUGGGAUUUUAGAUUUUAAUCAGGUCAUGCAGUUCUGAGUUUUAAUUCAUGUGCAAUAGUCAAAAUAUUGCAGGCUUGAACUGAGUAUUUACAUUUCAGUUAAAUUUUGUUCACCAAUGUCAGCCAAUGUGAGAGCAAAGUUUUCCUCCGAUUAUUCUAAAUUAUCCUUGGACUAUUCUGAAUCUGUAAAUGGAAGUUGAAUUCUGAAUACAUCUAUGCCAUCUAUAAAAUAAGAUGGCCUCGCGUGCCACUGUGCAACACCACGACGAUUAACAUCACCCAGUGAACACUGAACAAGCCUCGAAUCAAUAUGCAUUGGCGAUUUGUGGUUCUGUCCCGUUUAGUAGGGUUGCAUCUCUUCCAUAAUCUUUUGGUAAUUUUGUAGAUUAGGAAGUUUAAUUCUUUUCCGAUGAUAGUUUAAUAGUAGUCAAGAUAUGCGAUCUGCAUGUCCAUUUUACUGUAUAUAUCUGUUUUUACACUUCUAUUAUAGGUGUGGGAGUAUUAUGCCGAGCCUCCCCAGCAAGGUUUUCAAUAUUAAGGGGGAAAUUUGAAGGUGUAUAAGGUAAAGAGACAGAGCUCUAGAUACAUUUACUAAUAAAUUUUCUUUAUACCUUGCAUUAUAAUUACAUAUGGGAAAUACAGAUGAGGUGCCUGAUGUCAGCUACAAUCACAGAUCUAAGAAUAUGUGUUCAUCUGGAAGCCUAUAGACAGAAAUAUGUGUUCAUCUGGAAGCCCAUAGACGCUAAACAAUAUUUUAGUGAUCUUGGAUGCUAUCACCUACAUAGACUAUUUUCCCGUAAUAGUGUGCUUCCAGUUUGUUUGGUUCAUGGACGGUCCGAUGGCAUUUCACCUAGCUCUUCCAGUUUGUUGGUUCAUGGACGGCCAGAUGGUAUCUCCCCUAGCUAACCUGCUUUAAAGUAUCCGGUUGCUAAACCGGCAAAUACUUCUGCAAUUUUCGCUAGCACUAUAUAAUACAUCAAUUGGUUUCUUAUUGUUGAAAUUUUAAGAUCUACAAAUUAGAAGAAUUGUCUUUUUUUAUAGGAUGCCUGUUUUGUGUUGCAAAAUUAGAAGUAUUUUCUAAUGUGGUGCAAAAUUUUGUGUUGUUCUUAUGGCCCAUGGUCCUACGUAAAGUAUUCCAAUACAUUUCCACAAAUCAGUUUUUUAUUUAUUUUUCACGUAACACAUGUUCAUGUCCAAUCAGGGAUGGGUUCAAGCGGUGCUGGGACAUGUAUAGAGAAGGAGCUCAUUAUAUAUGGAGACAAGUUUUGAAUUGGGGCGUGUUGCUUCCUACCUGAUGGUGUAGACGUUAGAUGAGGGAUCUACAUAUAAGUAGAAUGUCACAUAUAUGGAUGUUGUAUCUUGGACGAUUCAUAGAAAAGAAGCCAAAGAACGAUUCAUCAGUUGCAUAUCUUUUUUACCUUCUACAUGUUAUUUUUUUCUCCAUAAGUUGGUCUGCACUUCAAAAAA
rnacentral:lncRNA from 1 species